rnacentral:rRNA from 1 species
AUUGAACGCUGGCGGCAUGCCUUACACAUGCAAGUCGAACGGCAGCACGGGAGCGAAUCCUGGUGGCGGAGUGGCGAACGGGUGAGUAAUAUAUCGGAACGUGCCCAGUCGUGGGGAUAACGUAGCGAAAGCUACGCUAAUACCGCAUACGAUCUAUGGAUGAAAGCGGGGGAUCGCAAGACCUCGCGCGAUUGGAGCGGCCGAUAUCAGAUUAGGUAGUUGGUGAGGUAAAGGCUCGCCAAGCCGACGAUCUGUAGCUGGGUCCUGAGAGGACGACCAGCCACACUGGGACUGAGACACGGCCCAGACUCCUACGGGAGGCAGCAGUGGGGAAUUUUGGACAAUGGGCGC